rnacentral:rRNA from 1 species
CGGAAGGAUCAUUGUGAU